GGCUCAUAACCCGAAGGUCGUCGGUUCAAAUCCGGCUCCCGCAACCA
rnacentral:tRNA from 2 species